AAUUGACCUCGGAUCAGGUAGGGAUACCCGCUGAACUUAAGCAUAUCAAUAAGCGGAGGAAAAGAAACCAACAGGGAUUGCCUCAGUAACGGCGAGUGAAGCGGCAACAGCUCAAAUUUGAAAAUCCUGGCUCCUUCGGGGUCCGAAUUGUAAUUUGUAGAGAGUGCUUCGGGCGAGAUCUCGGUCUAAGUCCAUUGGAACAUGGUGUCAUAGAGGGUGAGAAUCCCGUAUGCCGACCGUGGCUCGAGCCCAUGUGAAGCCUCUUCGACGAGUCGAGUUGUUUGGGAAUGCAGCUCAAAAUGGGUGGUAAAUUUCAUCUAAAGCUAAAUACUGGCUGGAGACCGAUAGCGCACAAGUAGAGUGAUCGAAAGAUGAAAAGCACUUUGGAAAGAGAGUCAAACAGUACGUGAAAUUGUUGAAAGGGAAGCGCUUGCAACCAGACCUGCCCGUAGGCGAUCAGCCGCUGUUCUCAGCGGUGUACUCGCUCUGCGAUCAGGCCAGCAUCGGUUUCGGCGGUCGGAUAAAGACCUUGGGAAUGUAGCUUCCCUUCGGGGAAGUCUUAUAGCCCUCGGUGUAAUGCGGCCAGCCGGGACCGAGGACCGCGCUUCGGCUAGGAUGCUGGCGUAAUGGUUGUAAGCGACCCGUCUUGAAACACGGACCAAGGAGUCUAACAUCUAUGCGAGUGUUUGGGUGUCAAACCCAUACGCGGAAUGAAAGUGAACGGAGGUGAGAACCCUUAAGGGCGCAUCAUCGACCGAUCCAGAUGUCUUCGGAUGGAUUUGAGUAUGAGCAUAGCUGUUGGGACCCGAAAGAUGGUGAACUAUGCCUGAAUAGGGUGAAGCCAGAGGAAACUCUGGUGGAGGCUCGCAGCGGUUCUGACGUGCAAAUCGAUCGUCAAAUUUGGGUAUAGGGGCGAAAGACUAAUCGAACCAUCUAGUAGCUGGUUCCUGCCGAAGUUUCCCUCAGGA
rnacentral:rRNA from 1 species